GGGCGAUCUUGUGAGCCCUCCUUCUAAUCCGAUGGCCGGAGGUUCGAAUCCUCCCGGGC
rnacentral:tRNA from 1 species